GGCAGCCUACGGGAGGCAGCAGUGGGGAAUAUUGCGCAAUGGGGGAAACCCUGACGCAGCAACGCCGCGUGCGGGAUGAAGGCUUUCGGGUCGUAAACCGCUUUCAGCAGGGAAGAUAGUGACGGUACCUGCAGAAGAAGCCCCGGCUAAAUACGUGCCAGCAGCCGCGGUAAUACGUAUGGGGCGAGCGUUAUCCGGAUUCAUUGGGCGUAAAGCGCGCGCAGGCGGGCUGGUAAGCGGGACCUCUAAUCUCGG
rnacentral:rRNA from 1 species